GAAUUAUCCCAUUUCAUUUACAGAGAUGAAAUAAUUUGGUGUGCAAUCUAUUGUGUGAUGUCAGACUUGUAAGAAUCAAGAUUUGACACACCAAGUUUGUUAUCUUGAUUAGAUUUGCUUGUCAUAAUAAAGUAAAUAAGUAUUUGAGAUUUUUUUUGAUAGAUUUGAACUAGAAAUCAUUCAAUAUCAAAAUUGUAUAUAUAGUAUAUACAUUGUACCUGUCUAUUAUAACAUUUGUGUUGUCAGCAGUUAACAAGAUUGGUUUCUAACUGUUGAUAAUUCUUAUAGAGCUAUUAUUAACAUAGGUAGUCAUUAAUAAUUUUUACUUCGAAAUAUUUUUUAAAGAGGCUGGUACUACAUGGAGUAAAUAUUACAUUAAAAAUUAAAAAAUAUAUGCAGUAGUCACUUUUAAAGUGCUAUUUUAAAUGAAAGAGAGAAUUAUUGAUAUAAUUUUAUAUAUUUAUUGGAGAUUAUGAAAUUUAUCUAUCACAAAUUUUGAUUUUUUUGUCUUGUUAUAUUUUUGGUACUUUCAUACACAGUACUAAAUUAAUCAGUUUUAGAGGAUUUGAAUCUUGUAGAGAUUUUACUUUUUCAUACAUGUACUUUUCUGUAAUUAUUGAGCACUAAUAUUUUUUUGAAACACUUACAUAUCAUGAAUAUUUGUGAAUCAAAUAUAAAGCUGUCUUUUUGCUUCUAAUUGAUGUAGAUAAGACAUUGAUGUAGAAUUUGUAGUGAAUGUUGUGAGGCCAUCUUGGAGCUGUAAUUGGUGUACAUGUAUAUAUCAUCUUUGUAGCUUGAAUGUAACAUCAUAACAAAUUGUAUUUUGAUAUAUCCCAAUAAAUCUGAAAGCUCC
rnacentral:sRNA from 1 species